AUGUAUCAUUUACACUGAUGAGUUGUUUGUAUAAUCAUUCUAUCUUAAUUAUUUAUUUUUAUUAGUAGGUGUAUGUUUAAUUGGUUGUGUUUGAAAAUUUUAUUGAUGUAGUAUUAUGAAAGAAUAGUUUAUGUAUUAUUUACUGUGAAGGGUUGAAAAAUUUAAAUAGUAGAAAAAAUUUAUUUGUACCUUCUGUAUAAGGGAUUUAUUAUAUAAGAAUUAAAUAUUUAUUUUUCCCGAAACCGUAUGAGUUAUCAUGAUAUAGUUAUUCAUGUUUUAGAAUCAUUUUAAUAUUAUGAUAGUAAUGAAAUGUUAGGCGAAUACGGGGAUAUCUGGUUGUCUUAAAAUAUAAUUUAAUUAUUUACUAUUAUAAUUUAUGUGUUUAUGUCAUAAAGAUUAAAUAUAGUGUUAACAAUAGAGGGGCCUAUCUCUUUAUUAUUUUAAUAUUUUAAUAAGUUUUAUAAUACUAUAGGCUUAGAAGUAGCUAUGAUUUAAAAUUGAGUUAUAUCUUUUACUAAUAGAUUUUUUUAUAAUUUCAUUAUAAUGAGACAAUAUAUAUUAAUUAUAUUUAUAUGUUUAUUAUGUUAGUAUUAGUAAUUGUUUUUUGUAUUUUUUAUGUAAAUCUAUUAUAAUAGCAUUUUAGGGAACUCGGCAACAGGUUAUUCGCCUGUUUAUCAAAAACAUGUCUUUUUGUAUUAUUACUAUUAAAAGUCUGGCCUGCCCGGUGAUAAAUAAGUUUAACGGCCGCGGUAACUUGACCGUGCGAAGGUAGCAUAAUCAUUAGUCUUUUAAUUGGAGGCUGGAAUGAAAGGUUUGACGAAUAAAUACUUUCUUUUUAGUUUUAUUUGAAUUUUAGAUUUUUGUGAGGACGCAAAAUUUUUAUUAAAAGACGAGAAGACCCUAUCAAGUUUUACUAUAUUUUUAUUUUUAUAUUUAUUACUAAUUUAUUAUAUAUAGUUUUGUUGGGGCGACAGUUAUGUUUUAGGUAACAUAAUUAUUUAAUAUUGAAUAAAUGACUAAACGUUAUGUGAUCCAAUUUAUUUUGAUAAUAAGAGUAAAUUACUGUAGGGAUAACAGCGUUAUUAUAUUAGAUAGUUCAUAUAGAUAAUAUAGUUUGCGACCUCGAUGUUGUAUUAAGAUUCCUAUUAGUUGAAGUAGAUUAAUAAGGUCGUCUGUUCGACGGUUAAAUUCUUACAUGAUUUGAGUUCAGAUCGGUGUGAGCCAGGUCGGUUUCUAUCUUUAAUAUUUUUUAGUUAUUUUUAGUACGAAAGGAUUGAAUUAUAAGAAUUAUUCUAUUUUGAAGUUAUGGAGGGCGUUAUUAAUUAUACAAGAAGAAGUUAUGUUUUAUAAAAUUAAUAAUUA
rnacentral:rRNA from 1 species